UACGGAGGGUGCAAGCGUUGUCCGGAUUUAUUGGGUUUAAAGGGUGCGUAGGCGGCCUGUUAAGUCAGUGGUGAAAUACCCCAGCUCAACUGGAGGGGUGCCAUUGAUACUGACAGGCUUGAGUACAGAUGAGGUAGGCGGAAUUUAUGGUGUAGCGGUGAAAUGCAUAGAUACCAUAAAGAACACCUAUUGCGAAGGCAGCUUACUAAGCUGUAACUGACGCUGAGGCACGAAAGCGUGGGGAGCGAACAGG
rnacentral:rRNA from 1 species